AUCGCUUCUCGGCCUUUUGGCUAAGAUCAAGUGUAAUCUGUUGAUUAUUACUUUGGUGGUGUAGAAGCUGUUUAGUUUAAUUAAUUUCCCACUUAUU
rnacentral:snRNA from 1 species